GGGUCAUUAGGUUGGUCGUGCCACCGGUACGUACUGGUCUCACUGAUUCCUCCUUCCUGAAGAACCGUAAUGCCAUUAAUUUGGUGUUGCGGGGAAACAGGACUGUUACUUUGAAAAAAUUAGAGUGUUUAAAGCAAGCUAGCGCUUGAAUACAUUAGCAUGGAAUAAUGAAAUAGGACGAUCGAUCCUAUUUUGUUGGUUUCUAGGAUUGACGUA
rnacentral:rRNA from 1 species